AGCUCGGGGAAAGUCCCUCCCGUGCCAGCAGGAGGUGGCUUUGUCCCCUCGGGGUGGCCUUGGGGACACUUGGGUGCUGCUGUCUGAGGUGCUGAAGCUGCACAUUCCCCCCCCACCACGGCCAGAAGGAGCUGGAAAAGCAAACUGGUUGUUGCUGGUUGACAGUGGAGGCUGAAAUUCUCUUUUUUCGCAGAGAAGAGGCACGUGAAUUUUAUGAUAAUUUUGCUUCAUUGCAGCUCUGCAAACUCUGGGGGCCACUUUGAAGCUUUUAAGGGUGAAAUGGAUCCACACCCAGGCUGCAGAGCUCCCAGACUGGGUUUUUUUUGGUGUUUUGUUCGAGUUUUCUCCCUCAAACCCAGGCUGCUGCAGAGGGAAGGAGCUGUGACUCACUGGACUUGACUGCUGAGCAGCCAAUAUGGAAUUUAAAGAGGCAAAAACUGGCAGAAUUCCCUGAAAACACUGCUGAGUUUCCCAUUUCCCUGCAGAUCAGGAGCUGGAAUUCACAGCACAGGACCACAAGAAGAGGAGAAACGCUGAAUCCAUAGGAAAAAAAAAAAAUCAGGAAUGAGUUUUUCCGCUGCAGCUGGGACAUUUCUCCUGAGUCACCACGAGAGGGACACAGAAGGAAACGAAAGGAACUGGGAAAUAAAAAAUCCAAGGAACAGCUCGAGGUUUAAUUGGGGAUAAAUAUUCCCAGAACAAGUCACAGUGGUGGAAUUCCAUGAAGGAAAAGGAGAGGAAGAUUUUGACCAAAAUCCAGAGAUUUGGAAUGAAGACAGUUCUUAGAAAUUAAGGAUGCUCUUUUCUUCCCUGUUUAUGGAAUUUGAGCCAUGGCAAGGUUGGGUCACCAGCAGAGGAAAGCAGGGAUUGGCACCUGGGGACCAGGAUGGUUCUUCCAUGUAAGGAGCAGCCAGGGAUGACGUCCCGGCAGCGAGGAGAAGGAAUGUGGAGCAUAAAUAGCAAAGCACGAAUGGGAGCGGGGACAGAGGCGGCUGCGGGACCGGCGGGAGCAGAGCCCCCAGAGCCCCCGGAGCCCCCGGAGCCCGGCAGGAGCAG